rnacentral:lncRNA from 1 species
GCCAGACACAGCACUGGCACUCACCAGCCAGUAGCUGAAUCGUCAGGGGGUGAGGAAGGGCAUGUUUUUGUUUAUUCAUUCAGAUACACUCAAAUUCGGAUACAGGCCCUCUUCUUAUCAAUCACAUGCCCUCAGGUUGCUUAAUGUGCCUGAGCCAAGGUUCUCUCAUCUGUAAAACCAGUCUAUGGAAUUGGUGAGCUUAUUCAUUGAGAUAAGGCAGAGUACCGCCAGUAUCAGAAAACACUCUCGGGGCUGUCUGCUCGGGAGAGACAAAGAAAUCGGCCCUCCCCUGAGUGAAGCUGAGGAAGAGGGCUGCAAAUCAGCAAGAAGAGGCUUGGCUUGAGGAAGAGAUGGCUGCUGGAAGGAGGUGAGCGCCACAAGAACGAUGACUUCCGGCUUCAGCCCCGCCUAGCAGCUGCUCCAGCUCCUGAGCCAGAACCAGCAGGAUGCACAAUUAGACCAUGGACGGCGCCCACAGCGCAGAGCUCCAGCUGCAGCAGCUCCUGCCCACCAGCGAUGCCGUCUCCAUGAGCGAAGUCUCC